rnacentral:rRNA from 1 species
UACGUAGGUGGCAAGCGUUACUCGGAAUCACUAGGCGUAAAGCGCAGGUAGGCGGUUUGAUAAGUCUGUUGUGAAAGCUCCUGGCUCAACUGGGAGAGGCCAACGGAAACUGUCAGGCUAGAGUGUGGUAGAGGAGACUGGAAUUCCUGGUGUAGCGGUGAAAUGCGCAAAUAUCAGGAGGAACACCGGUGGCGAAGGCGGGUCUCUGGGCAACAACUGACGCUGAGGAGCGAAAGCGUGGGGAGCGAACAGG